UUGUGAGUUUCUGGUGUAAAUUCGAAGUGUGAUUUUUGUUAGAAUGUUUUGGAUCUGAUCAUGGAUAAUACAAUUGAAGAACAUUUUUACUUUAUGACAUAGAAUAAAACGAAUGUUUUAUUUCACAAAAUGGGCAUUCUUUUAGUGCCCCCAAAAUGGUGUUUGCCCUGUGUGGCUAUUUUUGUGUGUAUUGUAAUUGGCACCUAUGGCGAACAAGUGGUACUCUUGGAUACAACGACGGAACAAAGUUUGGAUUGGACUAAAUAUCCAUAUGGACCACAGGCUACAACUCCUGGAUGGCUAGAAGAAUCUUUUACAAAUUUUGAUGCAGGAAUUAAUUGGCGCAGUAAUGUAGUCUGUGAUGUCGCCUAUAAUAAUGUCAAUAAUUGGCUAUGGACGCCAUUCAUCGAACGGGGUCUAGCAAAUCGUAUUUAUAUCGAAAUUAAAUUUACAAUACGAGAUUGUAAUUUGUUUCCAGGUAACGCGUUAAGCUGUAAAGAAACAUUUAGUUUAUUGUAUUAUGAAUUCGAUGCCGCUACAAGAGAUCCACCACCGUGGGAGCCUGAUAGUUAUAAAUUAAUUGGUCGUAUUGCGGCUGGAGAAGGUCGAUUUAGUAUAAAUGCAGAUGUGGGAUUCAAUACCGAAGUGAAAUCGAUUCCCGUAACAAAACGUGGAGUAUAUUUUGCAUUUCGAGAUCAAGGAGCUUGUAUUUCAUUGCUAGCGAUAAAAGUGUAUUACAUAACAUGUCCAGCAAUCACAAUAAAUUUUGCACGAUUCCCAGCCACACCAACGGGUCGUGAAGUGACCGUUAUCGAAGAAGCAACCGGUUCAUGUGUGGAGAAUGCAGAAAUCGCAAAUAAUACACCACCAAGAUAUUGGUGUAAGGGUGACGGAAAAUGGACUUUGUUAUCGGGUGGUUGUAAAUGCAAACCUGGUUUUGAGCCAGAUUUUGAGAAUCAAAAGUGUAAUGUUUGCGCACACGGUAAAUAUAAAUCGGACACGGGUGAUGGAUUUUGCGAACCGUGUCCACCGCAUAGUAAAGCCGAUGAUUAUGGAUUGAGCGAAUGUCGAUGUAAUCCUGGAUAUUAUCGUGCACCAACUGAUCUUAAGAAAAUGGCUUGUACACAACCGCCAUCUGCUCCACAAAAUUUAUCAGUGAAUUUUAUCGACCAAUCAACUGUGAUUUUAAGUUGGAAUCCACCCCAAAAUUUAGGAGGACGUACCGAUAUUUUCUAUCGAAUACAAUGCGAUGCUUGUGGUUCAACAGUGCAAUACAUUCCUAGUACCGAAACUUUUAACGAUACCCGAGUAACAAUAUCCGGUUUAUCAGCGGUAACAACAUAUCGUUUACAAGUAUUCGCUGAGAAUCCCGUAUCAAAAAUGUCACAAAAUCCGCCUGAGUAUACAGACAUUACGGUUACAACUGAACAAUCCGUCCAUAGUCUGGUCAGUAAUGUACGCGUUAUAGCUGUUAAGGCAACGGAAAUUGUGAUUGCAUGGGAUCCGCCAUUAUCAAGUACUAGUGGAGACGAUGCAGCCAACGAUGUUGAUGUCGUCGAAUAUGAAGUACGAUGUUUUCCACGAAAUUAUGAAUUGGAUCAAACCAAUUCAACGAUUACCUCCUUUACAAAGGAUUUACAACUUACUUUCUCUGGGUUAAAACAACGCACUGAAUAUGGUAUACAAGUUCGAGCGAAAACAUCGAGAGGUGCUGGUGAAUUUACACCCGUUAUUUAUAAAACUACUGGACAAAUGCUUGGAACAGUAUACGAUUCACAUCAUCCGGAUAUUCAUCGUGAUGUAAAUAGUGAACACGAUGAUGGUGCUAGUCUCGAUGCACGAUUAAUCGCUGGAGGAGCCACUGUUGCCGUUGUUACGUUGCUCGUAGUCAUCAUCAUAAUGGCUGUAAUGUUCCUACGUUCACGGCAGAGUGACGAAUGCAACAAAUUGAAACAACAACCGGGCGAUUGUGAUGCGCUUGAAUAUCGUAAUGGCGAAGUUCUUCAUAAUAUGGAUAGCCCGCCCAUUGUUACGACACAUACUAACGUGACUACCCCCCUUUUUACAGCUAUUGGUGGUGCUCCGGGCGGUUCACGGACCUACAUUGAUCCACACACAUACGAGGAUCCAAAUCAAGCUGUUCGAGAAUUCGCACGUGAAAUCGAUGCAAGCUGUAUCACUAUUGAAGCUAUUAUAGGUGGUGGAGAAUUUGGUGACGUAUGUAGGGGUAAAUUGAAAUUGCCAUCUGUAGGAAUGCAAGAAAUCGACGUAGCAAUAAAAACUUUAAAACCAGGGUCUUUGGAUAAAGCACGAAAUGACUUUUUAACAGAAGCCUCGAUAAUGGGUCAAUUUGAGCAUCCAAAUGUGAUAUUUUUACAAGGUGUUGUAACGAAAUCCAAUCCAAUUAUGAUUAUUACCGAAUACAUGGAAAAUGGUUCUUUGGAUACAUUUUUGAAGGCAAACGAUGGUAAAUUUCAAGUAUUACAAUUGGUUGGAAUGUUGAGGGGCAUCGCAUCAGGGAUGCAGUAUUUAAGUGAAAUGAAUUACGUGCAUCGUGAUUUAGCUGCACGUAAUGUUUUAGUUAAUACACAAUUAGUGUGUAAAAUAGCUGAUUUUGGAUUAUCUAGAGAGAUUGAAUCCACGACAGAAGGUGCUUACACCACUAGGGGUGGAAAAAUUCCAGUCCGAUGGACAGCACCUGAAGCAAUAGCAUUUAGAAAAUUUACAUCAGCAUCUGAUGUAUGGUCAAUGGGUAUUGUUUGUUGGGAAGUUAUGUCUUAUGGUGAACGGCCAUAUUGGAAUUGGUCCAAUCAGGACGUCAUCAAGAGUAUUGAAAAAGGUUAUAGGCUUCCAGCACCAAUGGAAUGUCCUGAAGCAAUAUAUCAAUUAAUGUUGGAUUGUUGGCAAAAAGAACGGACACAUCGGCCCUCAUUUGCCAGCAUAGUCACCACAUUGGAUAAAUUAAUUAGGAAUCCUGAUACCUUACGAAAAAUAGCCCAAAAUCGUCGUCCACAAGUGUUGAACUCAUAUUUUUCUACUACUGGCUUGGGACAACCCUCUUACAAUAUCCCCACCGCAUAUAAUAACGCUUUACAAUAUCUGGGACAUUUUGAGCCAACGACACAACAAAAUUUUGGACCAUCAGCGCCCUACAAUUAUUUUGGUGAUCAACAUUUUUAUGGUGGACAUAUGACACAACCUAGAGCCCAUCAUCGAAUCAACGAAGCUCUAGCACAAUUAUAUGGUGAUCAAAAUAUAGCACGAAUUAAUUUUCAAACAAUGAUGCGAGCCCAUCAAAAAAAUAACGAUUCGAUUUUAUUAAACGAUCUACAACAGUCGAAUCAAUCACCUUUGGAAUUCAUCCCGAAGGAAUGGAUGCAAACAGACUUCUACGACGAGACCAAAAACGAUUUGUAUAAUUUAUGGAUGAGCCAGAAAAAUACAGAAACGAAUUCGAGUAAUGAUACAACGAGUAAACGACAUUCGAAUCAAACGUUACCUAGUGAAUGGUCGGGGUCGGCUACGACCUCCAUGACAUCGACUCAAUCUACUCAACAACAACCCACAACUGAUGAGUCUCACCAGAGUCAGAGUCAAAGUCAAAAUCAAACAAGUGGUUCCCGUAAUCCAGGUGCUUGGGUCACUUUUAAUCAGCUUUAAAUGUUUCUCUCAUAAUUAUUUUCCACACAUAUUUUCACACACAAUUCACACACACUCAAAUUUUCAUGGCUUUUUAUGUUGUUCUAAAAAAAAAAAGAGAAGUUCCAACAAUCCAUUAGCAGCUGAUGCACCCGACCUAACAAAUUUCCUAAGUGUAGAAGAAUGGUUAAAUUCAAUAAAGAUGGCACGCUAUGUGGAAAAUUUCCAUAGCAACGGCAUUACAUCGAUGG